CAAAAUGGGACACGAAUUAGGGUUUCCAGAGGGUGGGCCUUUAAAUAACGAACGAAGCCCUUGCUUUGAAUUCCCAAGGUAAUCUCGUCUACUUCCUAGAGGCAUCGUCGGCCAAUUGUAAACGAAGGAGCUAAUCCAAGAUGAGGGCCAAGUGGAAGAAGAAGCGCAUGAGGAGGCUGAAGAGGAAGCGCCGAAAGAUGAGGCAGAGAUCCAAGUAGGUGCAUGGACACAGAAAAGAUGGGCUUUACCCUGAUAUCUCCUUGUCUUUGCCAUCAUCAUCCAGCAUAUGUUGUAUGAAGUUGUGAAGGUUGGAGGAUGUUUUUUCGGGCACUCUUAUCUGUUCUGUCUUCUAAUUUUAGGUUAUGUAUUAAGAGUAUUUGAGAUGUUGUCUAGUACUACAAAAUAUUAUGUUGGGCUUUUAUGUUUUGAGCUGUGUAGACUGUGUUAUCCUUAAAAUGCUUUCAAAAAGUGAAAUUGAAAACUUAAUGGUGUUUGUCUAUUCUUAGAUAA